rnacentral:lncRNA from 1 species
UAAAAGGUUAAUUUUGAGCACCAAGGAAAGCCUUUCUUAUUCUGGCACAUUCUGAAUUUUGUUUAGGAAACAUUUCAUUUGGGAACAAGCAACAAUGGAGAGGCUGAUUACUCUAACUCAGGAGUGAUUACUGCCCAGAAGGUGCAGCAGACACAGCAGACACUCCCUCACAGCACACUCCUGGCACCAGGGUGCACCGUCCACGCCCCAGGCUCCGACUUCCCACCACUUCCUUUGGAAUCUCCAUGACUCAGCGCCACUUCCCUCAUCCCAUCAUGGGGCAUGGCAUGCCUGAUUCCAAGAGAUGGACUUUGUUGAUGUUCCUGGGUUGCCUCAAGAGAGCCUAUUCAUCUGGACCAGGCACCUCUGUUGGUCAACAAGGCUCAGAGAGGAAAAGGUCUAGGAGUUUUCUGGAGAGAAUGGGGGUGAGUAUCUUGUUAGAAAAUGUGUCUCGAUUCAUAAUAUGCUCUUGUUUUCCAACACCACUACUUGAUUUCCACUUGCUUAAAAAAAUGUCAAUUAUGGAAUUUAGAAGCAUUCCUCUUAAAAAUGGCACUUCUUUGCAAAUACCAAAUCCUCCUUAUCAGUUAUCUUAUGUCCCUCUGCAGUCAUGUUCUAAACAUAGAGACCUGGGUUGGCUUUCCUAUUUGUUCCAUGACUAGACUGUGUGAUGCUGGGCUCCAAAGGAGGAUAUAUAAUGGUGGCCUGAUCAAAGGCAUUUAGGUGAAUGCCAGCACCUCUCUCCAGGGAUGAAAGAACUGGGAAAUGGCAGUAAUUCUGAGGGUGGAUCUCAGUGCUUGACACUUCAUAGAGGCUUAAUAAAAGUUGAUUGGGUAUUGUAAUCCCA